GCCGGGGUAGCCUAGCCUGGAAUGGGCGCCAGACUCAUAAUCUGGAGGUCGCGGGUUCGAAGCCCGCCCCCGGCACCA
rnacentral:tRNA from 1 species